rnacentral:rRNA from 1 species
UACGGAGGGGGCUAGCGUUGUUCGGAAUUACUGGGCGUAAAGCGCGCGUAGGCGGACCUGCAAGUCGGGGGUGAAAGCCCGAGGCUCAACCUCGGAACUGCCUUCGAUACUGCGGGUCUCGAGUCCGGAAGAGGAGAGUGGAAUUCCCGGUGUAGCGGUGAAAUGCGCAGAUAUCGAGAGGAACACCGGUGGCGAAGGCGGCCUUCUGGACAGUGACUGACGCUGAGACGCGAAAGCGUGGGGAGCAAACAGG